AUGCAAACCUGCAAUUUACAAGCAACUGCCAGUGCAAUUUCUAUGCUUAAAUUUGAAAGCAUAGCCAGAGAUUAUUUUUCCAUCCAAACAGUUUAUAUCUUAGCAGUAGUUCAGCAAAACAGGGUUGUUUUCAGAAGUCAGAUGUUGGAUUUUAAUGGUGCCCAGGGAAUGCUCCUACUUGCAGGUACCACCUGCAGCUUCUCUGCCGUAAGGAAACCCGGUGAACCUUCCAAAAGGCCAGCUCCCCCCUUCCCAUGCCCACCCGUUCCCUCCAUUUCGCCCCCAGCCCCGCAGCCUCAGGGAGGAAGAUGGACAAGCCUCGGGAAGCGAGCAGCCCCCGGCUGUGCAGCUGAACCACAGCAACGCCAUGGAAAAGCAAGAAUAAAUAAGGCUGCUGCAACUCCGGCAGAUAAACAAGUGCAAGGGCUGCAGAAACACCAGGCUGCAGCUGCAGAGCCCUUGGGCCGUGGGGAAAGCAGAGGGGGGGGCCCGGGGGUCGCUCCUCGCUGCCUGCGGGGCGCAUCUGGGGGCAUCCCGCAGCCCCCCGGCACCCCGCAGCCCCCCGCAGCCCCCCCAGCCCCAUCCCGCCGGGUGCUGCCGGGGACCGGCCCGACCCCCCCCCGGCCCCCCGGAGCCACCCCCGGCCCCGGAGCCCCCCGGUCCCCCCUCACCUGCGCUCGGUGCCCGGCGCCGCCCGGCUGCCGGGGCCGUGACUCAGCAGCCGCGGCCCGGAGCUCGCCGAGGCGCCCCGGGGAGGAGCUGGCUGCGCCCCGUGCCGCCGCUCCGCCGGGUAUUUGGGGUGUUUGGGGUAUUUGGGGUGUUUGGGGUCCCUGCCGGGGUGUGUGCGCUCAGCCCUGCCCGGCCGCCCGCCGUCGGGCAGCGGGAUGCUGCGGGGGCGCUGGGGAGAAGGAGCGCAGCUCCUCCGGAGGAGGAAAAAUUGUCCCCCCCUGCCUGCGGCUGGGGAUGGGGAUGGGCGGCAUCACGGCACCAAACCUCCGCGUCCUGCCGCUCCGCCUCGGAGCCGGGAACAGCCGGGAGCAGCCCGCAGGAGCACAGCCGGGCAGAGCCCCCGCACCCGGCACCCCCGAAACGGCACCCCCUGACCCGGCACCUCCUAACCCAGCACCCCCUAACCCGGCACCCCCUGACCCGGUACCUCCUAACCCAGCACCCCCUAACCCGGCACCCCCUGACCCGGCACCCCUAACCCAGCACCCCCUGACCCGGCACCCCCUGACCCGGCACCCCCUGACCCGGCACCCCCCGCCAGGCAAUAGCUGGGGUGCUCCCGGUGCCGCUGCAUCAGCCCCGGGGUUUGCUGCCCUUACCCGAGGUCCCCCCCUCCCCGAGACAGCGGGGGACAGAACCGACUCACCCGCUCGGUUGUUUGUUUGUUUUCAACCUCAUUUUAAAACAAAGACGGGAAAGAUUUUGCCGGUGCCACCAUAA
rnacentral:lncRNA from 1 species